AGAGUUUAAAUUCCUACCACAGCCAUACAUACAUGCUUAUUAGACUUUGAGCCACAUAUUUAUUUUUACUGCUUAUGAGCAUUGAGUGUGGUCAAGCUGUGUAGACCCUUAGGAGCUUGUCAUGCGGUUAAAAUCAAGAUUCACUUGCACGUUCACUCACACAUGCUGCUUCUACUCCGGAAGUAUGCAUCCACAUAUAUCCACUCAUUUCCAUCUCCAGAGCCACCCAAAAGUAUUCUACUCAUAAUCCGGGAGAGAAUAGCCAAAAACAUUAUCAUAUCCCUGUUAUUCCCCGUGAAAUAAAUGCUCUAGUUAUUUUGGUUACUACCACUUGCCACAUUAUUCCAGGAGGGUGAGUGCUCUAAAAAAUGAAAAAUACAAGGAAAUAGAAAGGGGCGAGUGCCCGGAACCUCGAAGAAAAGAAAAAGUGAGAUGAGGGGUAAAAAUAGACAAGUGUCCGACAACAGAAUUAGGGGUCCAAGAUACCCACCUGAGAGAAAAGAAAAAAUAAAAUAUAGAGCAUCUCAUUCUCCUCAAAAAGCUUCAAAGUGCAAGAAAGGUAUUUAUCCCCUUAAAAGAGCAAAAGUAGAAUUAGAUGUUCACCAUUGUUAUCACCAUCAUCACCAUACACCAUUCACUCGCCACACAUGCACAUCUUGAUUUGACUUAUUGACUUGUUCUUCUGGAUCCAUGGUUUGACUAUGCAAUAAAUGUCUUGUAAGUAUGUAUUAUCUGCUCCCACCUAUAAGCUCCAGAUUUCAAAACCUUAUUAGAGUAGGAUGAGAGGGAAGGCAAUAUCACUACGCCUCAUACCAAAAAUACCACAUACUUCGAGAGAAGGCAUAUACCAUUACUGCCUUGGAAAGGAUUCAGAGAUACCACAGAAGAGAGAUUUGAGAGAGUCAUACAAGGAAUCUCUGAGUUUUAUUUGAAAAUGUACAAAAACUCCAGAGCUAUAGUUAAUCAGAGAACAAGAGACACGGCGCUUAACUUGACCGUUCUAUCUUUUAAUUGCUCAAGACGCAAGUGACGGUUACAAGCCCCAUGGUGAAAGGUAAAAUGAGUAAGUUUUAAGUCUUAACAGUUUACUCUAACUCACAGAUGAGAUCUUACUUUUAAGGCAUGAAACCACUGCAGAAACUCUUGAGUUCAUCCUUGCUCAGGGAUGAGCAAGAGGUAAGCUUGGGGGAGUUGUUGAUGGUACUUAAGUACCAAAUAUAAUCGUCAAAUAAAUAAAGAAAAGGAUCCAAAUGCAUCCAACACCCAGACUUAGGGUUUUAUCUGACAGAAUUCCAUGAGUUUUGGUGUUUAUCUAUUUCUGCAGGGGUUAUCAGGAAAUACGGAAGAAAGGCCCACACGUCGGGUUUACAUAGAGAUAUUAACAUGCUGCGCAAUUUUCUAUCAUCUAGAAGACUCUAGAAGCCACAGGAACGAAUGGGAAGGCGAACGGGCCCGCUGGCAGGGCGCCUGCCCUCCCCCCUAGGGCACCCGCCCUGUCCCAGAGUCCAAUCAGGACUCGUUUCGGGGAUUACGCUCCACCGACCUAAAGGAUCAAGGAUAACCGUUCAAUCAAUAUCGGUUUGAUCCAAUGGCCCAUAUUCACUUAAAAGGACUAUAUAAGCAAACCCCCUGGCCCCUGGAGGAGAACAAGCUCAUCAUAGAGUUGAGAGGAGUCCUCGAAGGAAUACCUCUCCUCUAAAUAUACUUAGGGCUUAGCAUCCAAUGUAAGUAGAAUUAGAUCUUCUAGUUUCUACUAGAUUGAGAGAGAUAGAGUGGAGGUGUAGAUCGGAGGAAGCCCGGCCUGUCGGUGUCUACUCCGAGGUUGUACCUGUGGGAUCAAGUUCUCCUAACCCGAGGCUUGAUCCUAGGAUUCUUCAGUAAUUCGACUUCUAAAUUCUAGUAAGUUCUUGUUUUAUUGUUCUUUGGUUUAUGAGUUUACUUUAAUCUCUUCUGGUUGAGUUUUGUAACACCCGAAAUUUGAUUUUUAAAUAAUAGGAUUUAAUUUGGUUUAUUCAAGUAUUUUUUUUUUGUGAGCAUUUAAUCGUGAAUAAAAUAGUUUUGGUCAAAAUUAAAAUUUAUUAUAAGUUUAGAAAACAUGGUUGUGCAUUUCAUGCUGGAGCAUAAUAAUUUUUGUGCUGAUCUUUAUUUUAUUUACUUUAUGGUUAAAAGCUCUUUUAGAAAAUGUGUUGAAAAGAAAAUAGAAAAGAAUUUGAAAAAAAAAGAAAGGGAAAAAAACCCCAGCCCUGCGCCCAGCCCAACUCCCCCUCGGCCCAUUCCCUCUCCCCCUCCCCCGUGCAGGCCGAUCUGCGGCCCACCAAGCGCGCGCAGCCAGGCCGCGGUGUGCCCCUUCUCUCCCUCUAGCUGACAGGCGGACCCCACCUGGCGGUGCCCGUCUUCCUCCUCCCGCCGUAAGCGACAGUAAGCGGCGUGGACUCGACCGAGUUCUCCGUCACCUAAUCGAAUCCCGGGAUUUGCGUUCGGUUACCUUUUCCACGUGACCAAACGCUAUAAAUCGUUCUCCCUCCACCCCGCAGCUCUCUUUCGCAUCUAGGUCCCCGAGUUGAGCCCACCAGCCGUCCCCUCCUGGAGUUGGAGAUCUCGCUGGAGCAGCACGCGUUCCGCCGCCGCGACCCGACCUCCACGCU
rnacentral:lncRNA from 1 species